rnacentral:rRNA from 1 species
GAUGAACGCUGGCGGUAUGCUUAACACAUGCAAGUCGAACGGUCACUUCGGUGAUAGUGGCGGACGGGUGAGUAACGCGCGAGAAUCUGUCUUCAGGUCGGGGACAACAGUUAGAAAUGACUGCUAAUACCGGAUGUGCCUUUGGGUGAAAGAUUUAUUGCCUGAAAAAGAGCUCGCGUCAGAUUAGCUAGUAGGUGGUGUAAGAGACUACCUAGGCUCCGAUCUGUAGCUGGUCUGAGAGGACGAUCAGCCACACUGGAACUGAGACACGGUCCAGACUCCUACGGGAGGCAGCAGUGGGGAAUUUUCCGCAAUGGGCGAAAGCCUGACGGAGCAAUACCGCGUGAGGGACGAAGGCUUUUGGGUCGUAAACCUCUUUUCUCAAGGAAGAUGAUGACGGUACUUGAGGAAUAAGCAUCGGCUAACUCUGUG